GAUAAGGAGCUGAGAAACCUCUUUGAAAAACUGGAGACAGAAACAUGUGAGACAGUAGACAUCACAAACAGUUUUGACAUUACAGACGUGCAUCAACAACGUGAUGCUGCUGAAUGCCUGGAAAUGAUUUUACACAAAGUCAGCCCACAGGCCUCCCAGGUUUUCAAAGGACAGCUGAAAUACUCGACAACAUGCUCCAAAGGCCACAACCUCAACACAGAGACGAAUCCAUUUCUGACUCUUCCACUGUCACUGAAGGAUGCUAACAA